AACUAGAUUGUAUACUAAAACACCACUGUUUAUUCAACAGUGUAUUGAUUAUUAUGAAAGACCUGAAAGUGAGCAUGCCAGAUGAGAAAAACGAAAUCGUUAUAAGUCACUGGACGAUCAACCUGAUGUGAUUUAUCUUGGUGAAAAUAUCACGAUACGUAGACAAGCAUGGGAUCUUAUAUUAAUAGAAAAACCUUCAAUCUUCGUAUCUUCCUUAGCUAUCCACAUUUGGGGCGGACACGAUGUCUUAGCUAAUAGAGCUUUAGAUUUUACACACGGUGCCGAAAACAUUCCAAACAGAUCACCCGUAAAAGUUAUUGAAAAAAAAUUAUUGCGAUUACUUAUAAGUUUGUUCUACGAUUUUCUGAAAAGUAACACAUCGUUGAGAAGUAAGGAGCGUGUUCGACGCAGUUAUCAAAAGUCAUUUAUUACUUGAGACACAAGAUUCGUAAUUUGAGAAGGGAAUAUAGAAAAAGAUAAACACUUUACUCAAGAAGAAAGUCAAUUGCAAAUUGCAAGAAGAAGACUAAGAUACAAUUAUUCAGGAUAAAUUAGUUGUUGUUUCGAACAAAAUCGUAAAAUUUAUUUAUUUUUUUAUAAAAAUACGAUCAAAACAAAAAAAACGAGUUAUUUUUAAGAUUUUU